GGGUCGUUAGCUCAGUUGGUAGAGCAGUUGACUUUUAAUCAAUUGGUCGCAGGUUCGAAUCCCUGCACGACCCACCA
rnacentral:tRNA from 2 species